AUGGGACCCCCCAAGUAUCUCGUGUGUGAGGGUCCCAGGAUUUGUCCCAGCCCCACCCUCUCCUUCAGCCACAUUGAUGGCAGAGGCAGAGAAGAUCAGAACAUGCAGCCCAUUCUGACUGGAGAGGAAAACUUGUCAUCUGGCUUUGCGGAGAAGGUUCCACCUUACGCUCGUAGUACAUUAUCUUUACUAUGUGCUAGGAUAUCAUAUUUAAAAGGACAAAAAAAUGUAAAAUACUUGAAUGAGCUUGUAUUAUAACAUUAAUAUUAUUGAGAGUGUCUGCUUCCCAGGCUGAAGUGAUUCAUUCAUUAUUCUGGUCCUGCUCUAGUCCUUUGUAAUUG
rnacentral:lncRNA from 1 species